GUAGUUAAUAUUAGGCCCUUUUCGCCGAGGGAUCGGGUUAAGGGGAGGCUAAGAAAGUCGCAUAACAAUUGAAUCAAUCAACUAAUAGUCAAGGGUAGUAUGUAAGAGAGAGUGGAAUAGAUGAAAUUGUUAGUACCCAACAACAUCCAUCCAUCCAUUGUUUUCGUUUCUCAAUUGAAUCAACUUUAUUUUUGCAUGUUAAUAUUU
rnacentral:lncRNA from 1 species